UCGUGACCCUGACCAAAACAGACCGCGCACCCGUCAUCCAGCCUGCCGGCGGCGGCACCGUUCGUCGCUCGGCCAAGUCCUCGAUWACCUCCUCUUCUCGGAGUGGGGGCUCGGGGUAAAAGAACCCACGRCGCCUAAGGCGUCAAGGAACACUGUGCCWAGCCCGGGGACGCGGACGGCUUGCUGGCUGCCCCCCGUGCUGCAAUGCUAUUUAAUCCACACGACUCUCGGCAACGGAUAUCUCGGCUCUCGCAUCGAUGAAGAACGUAGCGAAAUGCGAUACCUGGUGUGAAUUGCAGAAUCCCGCGAACCAUCGAGUCUUUGAACGCAAGUUGCGCCCGAGGCCAUUCGGCCGAGGGCACGCCUGCCUGGGCGUCACGCAAAACACGCUCCCACCCCCUCAUCAGGGAGCGGGACGCGGCAUGUGGCCCCCCGUCGCGCAAGGGRCGGUGGGCCGAAGAUAUGGCUGCCGGCGUAUCGUGCUGGACACAGCGUGUGGUGGGCGACCUCGCUUUACUUCCGCAGUGCAUCUGGCGCGUAGCCGACGUGAUGGCCUCGAAGGACCCUAUGAACGGUGCGCACGACG
rnacentral:misc_RNA from 1 species